CGGGAUGCAGCAGCAGUGGGGAAUAUUGGACAAUGGGGGAAACCCUGAUCCAGCAAUGCCGCGUGUGUGAAGAAGGCCUGCGGGUUGUAAAGCACUUUCGGUUGGGAGGACUGCUUCUAGCACUAAUAUUGUUGGAAGUUGACGUUACCUUCAGAAGAAGCACCGGCUAACUCCGUGCCAGCAGCCGCGGUAAUACGGGGGGUGCAAGCGUUAAUCGGAAUUACUGGGCGUAAAGCGCGCGUAGGCGGCUAGAUCAGUCGGGUGUGAAAGCCCCGGGCUUAACCUGGGAACUGCAUCCGAUACUGUCUAGCUUGAGUACAGGAGAGGAGAGUGGAAUUCCACAUGUAGCGGUGAAAUGCGUGGAUAUGUGGAGGAACACCAAUGGCGAAGGCAGCUCUCUGGCCUGAUACUGACGCUGAGGUGCGAAAGCGUGGGGAGCAAACAGGAUUAGAUACCCUCGUAGUC
rnacentral:rRNA from 1 species